rnacentral:lncRNA from 1 species
UUACUCUUCCAGGAAGUGCUGCUGGGGUCCUAUAAUAGAGCCUGGCCGGCAUAUUCUAAUCCAAGCAAUUAUUUCAGCGUGUGUAAACCUGUAGUGUUUCAUUACAUAACAGGCUAUCAAUGUCCCUGUUCUUCCAAGACCGCCUUGCACACACCUUUGCAGUGAACGGCGAUGGCCCCUUCGGUGUUCUCACAGAUGUUCAGGAACCUUCGCACGAUGUUGUCACUGGGUGUGCUGCCAUCUAUGAAGAAGAGGUCAUAGUGCUCGAAGCCAGCGUCUGUGAAGCGCUUUGCCUCAUAAAUCUUUUUGUUUAGCCUCACAACUGCAGUCACAUUAUGCUUUUUGAAAUAAGGAAAGUAGGCUUCAGGGGCGUGAAAAGGAUAACC